AGCCACACACCCAACUGUCCUUUUCGUUGCAGGAGCUCUCCCACCUGGAGGCAGCCGGGGGGCGGGUCAGGGCCCCCCCAACCCCGGAAUGACCGCGGCCAGCCGGGCCAACCCCUACAGCAUCGUGUCGUCGGAGGAGGACGGUCUGCACCUGGUCACCAUGUCGGGCGCCAAUGGCUUCGGCAACGGCAAGGUCCACACGCGGCGCCGGUGCCGCAACCGCUUUGUCAAGAAGAACGGCCAGUGCAACAUUGAGUUCGCCAACAUGGACGAGAAGUCGCAGCGCUACCUGGCGGACAUGUUCACCACCUGCGUGGACAUCCGCUGGCGCUACAUGCUCCUCAUCUUCUCGCUGGCCUUCCUGGCUUCCUGGCUGCUCUUUGGCGUCAUCUUCUGGGUCAUCGCCGUGGCCCACGGCGACCUGGAGCCGGCCGAGGGCCGUGGGCGCACCCCGUGCGUGCUGCAGGUGCACGGCUUCAUGGCGGCCUUCCUCUUCUCCAUCGAGACGCAGACCACCAUCGGCUAUGGGCUGCGCUGUGUGACUGAGGAGUGCCCCGUGGCCGUCUUCAUGGUGGUAGCCCAGUCCAUCGUGGGCUGCAUCAUCGACUCCUUCAUGAUCGGCGCCAUCAUGGCCAAGAUGGCACGUCCCAAGAAGCGGGCGCAGACGCUGCUGUUCAGCCACAAUGCCGUGGUGGCCCUGCGCGACGGCAAGCUCUGCCUCAUGUGGCGGGUGGGCAACCUGCGCAAGAGUCACAUCGUGGAGGCCCACGUGCGGGCGCAGCUCAUUAAGCCCAGGGUCACAGAGGAGGGUGAGUACAUCCCGCUGGAUCAGAUUGACAUCGAUGUGGGCUUCGACAAGGGCCUGGACCGUAUCUUCCUGGUGUCACCCAUCACCAUCCUGCACGAGAUCGACGAGGCCAGCCCGCUGUUCGGCAUCAGCCGGCAGGACUUGGAGACCGACGACUUUGAGAUCGUGGUCAUUCUGGAGGGCAUGGUGGAGGCCACGGCCAUGACCACGCAGGCCCGCAGCUCCUACCUGGCCAACGAGAUCCUGUGGGGCCACCGCUUUGAGCCAGUGCUCUUUGAGGAGAAGAAUCAGUAUAAGAUUGACUACUCCCACUUCCAUAAGACCUACGAGGUGCCCUCCACACCCCGCUGUAGUGCCAAGGAGCUGGUGGAGAACAAGUUCCUCUUGCCCAGCGCCAACUCCUUCUGCUAUGAGAAUGAGCUGGCCUUCCUGAGCCGGGAUGAGGAGGACGAGGCGGACGGAGACCAGGAUGGCCGCAGUCGAGAUGGCCUCAGCCCCCAGCCCCGGCAUGACUUUGACAGGCUCCAGCCCGGCGGUGGUGGUGCCCUUGAACAGCGGCCGUACAGAAGGGAGUCAGAGAUCUGAGCCACUUUGGGCCUAGGUGCAGCACCCACCCACCCCGCCAGGGAGAGGCCUGGCGUCCUUGGAGGGCUCUGGGUUUUGAGCAGAAUGGGCCAGGUGCCCCGGGUUGCAGACUCAGUAGUGUUUUAGUUGUUUUAUGUUUCUUCGCAAUAGUCUUGGAAGGUUGGCGGGAGAGUGGGCGGCCAGAUUGGGCAGCCCCCAGCCUCAGAGGCUGACCAGGCACAGACAGGGCAGGGAGGUGGUCUCCUGCGGUGGGGGGUGGGGAGGGCCCGGCCAUAAGAGCCAGGUCCUCUGCCUGAAGAUGGAGCUGGGUAGCCUGCCUAGAAGUGGCUCAGCAGUGGGCCCCGCCUCUGUGGUCAAAGGCCGGCAGGCUGCAGUGCACCUUGCUGGUUUUUAACUUGGGGAGAAACACCGGAUUUUGGCUUUCUCGAUCUUAGCUUGAGUAAGACUGUUUACAAAACAAAAACAAAAAGAAAAACCAUCAACAUGCAAUUGAAACAAAAUUCUUUUUUUUUUUUUUUUUAAAUUUGUGGGGAGGGGAAGAGGACAAUUGGAAUCCCAUUGGCCUGCCAGGAUGCAGGUGGUUGGAUGGAAGCUCUAGAAGGUUCCCCAAGGUUGGACUGGCCUCUCCCUGUGUUUGGUGGUGGUGGUGGGGGGAGGCCCAAGCAAGCACAGUACUCCAGGCUCAGUCUAUAGUGCUUAGGGGUGAAUUCAGGUCAUGUUUGUGAUAGAAGAACCAUGUUAAUCAUCACAAUAAAAGCUUUCAAAUGUCACUGGUGUGGGGUGGGGGGGGGGAGGCUGGCAGGAAGCCGGUUUGAUCUUUCUGAGCUUGACUUUGUACCUCGGAGGUGCGUUUCAGGGCUGGGUACAGGAUGGGCCCUUGAGGGUUCACAGCCCCCACCUAUUCAUUUCUGCUGGCGGUGGGGGGGGGAGCGUCCACCCCUGGCACAGGGGAGGGGCAAUUGGGAAACGCCAGAGUGGACGGGCUUCUUGUUGGGAAGCCAGAUUCCCCACCCUGAGAAGGAAGCAGAUCUGUCCCCAUCCCCCCCCCCCCCCCCGGGGCCCACAGUGUGAGUCGUGCCUUAGAGACUUCGGGUUGUCCCACUCGAGUUGUUUCUGUUUUUAUUGGACUUGCCUGUCCUCCUCUGCGGUCCCUGUCUCCCCUUCUGAAGUCCCCCACCAGCCCCUCUUGUCCGCCCUGGGAAGGUGGUGGCAGAGGCUGUGCCCACCAGGCCCAUGGCUACAAUCCUGCCUGCCCUUUCCUCCCCGCGACCUGGGGCUGGACAGGGGAACCCAGGAAGGGUCCCCCCACCCCACCACCAGGCUGUGGUAGGCUGCUUCAUGCGAGUUUAGGAAAGGAUAGGAGUGGUCAUCCUCCUCUUAUCCGCUGAGAUGGCUAAAGCCAGGUUGAGACAUUGGCCGUGAAACAAAGAAAUCCUUCUCUGGCUUCAGAGCCUCCACCCUCUUCAUCCUCCCCGAGGACAGAGCAAUGAAGGGGGUCUAACUGGCUUGGUGCCUGGGGUCGGGGGGUGCUCAGGGACACCCCAGCUCCCGUGCCCUGACAUAGGCCUGCCACCAUGCGUCCUUAUCCUUCAUCAGGAAGAGGCUUGAGGCCCCUGGUCACUGGCAUUGGUGCUGCCAGCCCUGUCUGGUUCCUACCGCUGGCAGGAAGAAGCGCCCUCCUUCUUGAGCUUCCCCAGGACGGCGGAGGAAGGCCAUCCUCCCCGGGCCUCGUCCCUCAGGGAGGCGAUCAUUAGAAAGCGGGUGUCUCCCCUGCCCUGACUGCCCAGAUUGCUCCAACCCCCUGUGCCCCACAAGACCAGCUGGGAGCCAGAANAGAGUGGGCGGCCAGAUUGGGCAGCCCCCAGCCUCAGAGGCUGACCAGGCACAGACAGGGCAGGGAGGUGGUCUCCUGCGGUGGGGGGUGGGGAGGGCCCGGCCAUAAGAGCCAGGUCCUCUGCCUGAAGAUGGAGCUGGGUAGCCUGCCUAGAAGUGGCUCAGCAGUGGGCCCCGCCUCUGUGGUCAAAGGCCGGCAGGCUGCAGUGCACCUUGCUGGUUUUUAACUUGGGGAGAAACACCGGAUUUUGGCUUUCUCGAUCUUAGCUUGAGUAAGACUGUUUACAAAACAAAAACAAAAAGAAAAACCAUCAACAUGCAAUUGAAACAAAAUUCUUUUUUUUUUUUUUUUUAAAUUUGUGGGGAGGGGAAGAGGACAAUUGGAAUCCCAUUGGCCUGCCAGGAUGCAGGUGGUUGGAUGGAAGCUCUAGAAGGUUCCCCAAGGUUGGACUGGCCUCUCCCUGUGUUUGGUGGUGGUGGUGGGGGGAGGCCCAAGCAAGCACAGUACUCCAGGCUCAGUCUAUAGUGCUUAGGGGUGAAUUCAGGUCAUGUUUGUGAUAGAAGAACCAUGUUAAUCAUCACAAUAAAAGCUUUCAAAUGUCACUGGUGUGGGGUGGGGGGGGGGAGGCUGGCAGGAAGCCGGUUUGAUCUUUCUGAGCUUGACUUUGUACCUCGGAGGUGCGUUUCAGGGCUGGGUACAGGAUGGGCCCUUGAGGGUUCACAGCCCCCACCUAUUCAUUUCUGCUGGCGGUGGGGGGGGGAGCGUCCACCCCUGGCACAGGGGAGGGGCAAUUGGGAAACGCCAGAGUGGACGGGCUUCUUGUUGGGAAGCCAGAUUCCCCACCCUGAGAAGGAAGCAGAUCUGUCCCCAUCCCCCCCCCCCCCCCCGGGGCCCACAGUGUGAGUCGUGCCUUAGAGACUUCGGGUUGUCCCACUCGAGUUGUUUCUGUUUUUAUUGGACUUGCCUGUCCUCCUCUGCGGUCCCUGUCUCCCCUUCUGAAGUCCCCCACCAGCCCCUCUUGUCCGCCCUGGGAAGGUGGUGGCAGAGGCUGUGCCCACCAGGCCCAUGGCUACAAUCCUGCCUGCCCUUUCCUCCCCGCGACCUGGGGCUGGACAGGGGAACCCAGGAAGGGUCCCCCCACCCCACCACCAGGCUGUGGUAGGCUGCUUCAUGCGAGUUUAGGAAAGGAUAGGAGUGGUCAUCCUCCUCUUAUCCGCUGAGAUGGCUAAAGCCAGGUUGAGACAUUGGCCGUGAAACAAAGAAAUCCUUCUCUGGCUUCAGAGCCUCCACCCUCUUCAUCCUCCCCGAGGACAGAGCAAUGAAGGGGGUCUAACUGGCUUGGUGCCUGGGGUCGGGGGGUGCUCAGGGACACCCCAGCUCCCGUGCCCUGACAUAGGCCUGCCACCAUGCGUCCUUAUCCUUCAUCAGGAAGAGGCUUGAGGCCCCUGGUCACUGGCAUUGGUGCUGCCAGCCCUGUCUGGUUCCUACCGCUGGCAGGAAGAAGCGCCCUCCUUCUUGAGCUUCCCCAGGACGGCGGAGGAAGGCCAUCCUCCCCGGGCCUCGUCCCUCAGGGAGGCGAUCAUUAGAAAGCGGGUGUCUCCCCUGCCCUGACUGCCCAGAUUGCUCCAACCCCCUGUGCCCCACAAGACCAGCUGGGAGCCAGAAAGCACCGGGAACUCUCUGGCCCAAGUGGGGAAACUGAGGCAGAGAGUGGCAAGGGUGGUGUGCAGUGGGUGGGGGGUAGGAGGCCGGGGGAAGGCCAAGGCCCUGUGGUAGGGGCUCCUGCCUCUUCUCUCCACUUUCGAGCCACCGAGGGUUGGAACACUGGCUACCACUUCUCUGCAAGGUGCCUGGGGCAGGAGGCAGAGACACCCAGCGCCUCACCCCUCCACCACCUGGAGGUAAGCCUGACUCCAGGCACUCCCCCCGAGCCUCUGACCUUACCCUAACUUCUGGCCUGGAAGCUUCAGCCCCAGACUGUUUUUUUAAUAUAUUUUUUUCCCUCUCAGGAUCUGCUGGAGCAACCUCAGCUCUUUCUGGACUCCUGGGCUUGGCCCCUGUCUCCAAAGCCUGGCUUUUCUAAGCCUUGGCUUUGGGGGGGUCUUGAGGGUGGAGUUGGCAUGAGAGUGCUUGGUUCUCACCACUCCUGCUCAGAUUGCCAGGCUGAGAGAUGAGAGGGACAAGGGUGGCCCCUGGGCACUGGGUGCCUGCCUAGAGUCUGUGCCCUGCUUUGUCCUUCUGGGCCAGGAACGGGGGCUCCUACUCCCCGCCUCCAGACCGGAACCCAAGGUCUCUGCGUCCCCCCAGGGUCUGUUCUCCAGCCAUCCCUGAGGUGUGGUCAUCUGCCUCUUAGGCCCGUCCUCCCAGGUCCACCACACUGGGCCUGAAUGGUCAGCCUCCAGCCCCUGCAGGAGAGCAGCCCAGUGCUGUCUUUCAUCUCUCACCAAAGGCAAGGCAGAUCCAUGUUUUUCAAAUGCUUCUGCCCUCUUCCCGGUCCCUGUAUUUAUUUAUUUAUUUAUUUAUUUAUUGCUUGUGCUAAAGACCAAAAUAGUCCCCUCUUUAGUGCACCGGAUGCGGGAGGCAGGAUGUGGGGAGCCUUGUACGUGUGUGGGGUCCGGGAGACUGGCCUCCCGGGGAGUGUGUGGGGAAAGGAGGUGUGUGUGUGUGUGUGUGUGUGUGCAGUGCACAUGUGGGCGUGUGUGCGCAUGUGCAUGACUGUCUCCACAUGUGUCUCUGGAGUGACAACAUGGAUCUGUUAGUGUGUGCGUGUGUCUACCCACCGGUUGGUGUGCAUGCUGGUAUCAUGUUGAGGCUGGGAGCCCACUGGUCAGAUUGGACCCUGACCUCAGAUUGUUGGUACAAUCCAACCUGAUGGUUCCCGAUUCUCUGAUACAGUCUGUGGACGGGCGUGUGUGCCACCGUGGGGCAUUGCAGGAGAGCAUCUGUGUCUGGAUUAUGUGUUGGAGGCUGUGGGUGUGUGUGUCCAUGCGAACACAUGUCCAUGCAUGUGUGUGUGAGUGUGUGGGUCCUGGAGGCGUGUGAGUGUGUGCGGGUCCUGGAGGUGUGUGUUUGUGUCAGUGGGGUGGUGAAUCCUUGUGCAGCCUGUGUGGUUGCUGCUCAGAACACAGGCAGCCACCCCCCGAAACCCUGCUGGUGCUGUGCCGCCCCGGUCCCCGCCCAACCAAGGGUUCUGGGGCGGCGGGCGGGAAGGAGCCACCGUCAGGAGGCCCCUGUACGGGGUGUCUGCCCUGCGUGAGGUCAAUAGAAUGUCAAAUCUAUUUUAAAUGGUGAAACCGGAGAAUUUUCAUGUUAUUUUCAAUACAUAGCGGUAUCUAAAGAUGUAGGCAACGAGACUAGAUCACAUUAAAUGCAUUUUGAUCUCUUUG
rnacentral:lncRNA from 1 species